AUUGAACGCUGGCGGAAUGCUUUACACAUGCAAGUCGAACGGCAGCACGGGGGCAACCCUGGUGGCGAGUGGCGAACGGGUGAGUAAUACAUCGGAACGUGCCCAGUCGUGGGGGAUAACGUAGUGAAAAUUACGCUAAUACCGCAUACGAUCUAUGGAUGAAAGCGGGGGAUCGCAAGACCUCGCGCGAUUGGAGCGGCCGAUAUCAGAUUAGGUAGUUGGUGGGGUAAAGGCCCACCAAGCCAACGACCUGUAGCUGGUCUGAGAGGACGACCAGCCACACUGGAACUGAGACACGGUCCAGACUCCUACGGGAGGCAGCAGUGGGGAAUUUUGGACAAUGGGCGAAAGCCUGAUCCAGCCAUUCCGCGUGCAGGAUGAAGGCCCUCGGGUUGUAAACUGCUUUUGUACAGGACGAAAAGGUUUCUACUAAUACUAGGAGCUCAUGACGGUACUGUAAGAAUAAGCACCGGCUAACUACGUGCCAGCAGCCGCAGUAA
rnacentral:rRNA from 1 species